GACAGAGGGUGCAAACGUUGUUCGGAUUUACUGGGCGUAAAGCGCGUGUAGGCGGCUUGGCAAGUUGAAUGUGAAAGCCCACGGCUCAACCGUGGAAGCACAUCCAAAAACUGCUUCGCUCGAGUCUCGGAGAGGAAGGUGGAAUGCUUGGUGUAGAGGUGAAAUUCGUAGAUAUCAAGCAGAACACCUGCGGCGAAGGCGGCCUUCUGGACGAUGACUGACGCUGAGACGCGAAAGCGUGGGGAGCAAACAGG
rnacentral:rRNA from 1 species